AUGACCGAGUGGGAGACAGCAGUACCAGUGGUGGCAGAGACCCCUGACACCAAGCUCUCUGGGAAGUGGAUGAUGUGCAGAUCAAUGAUGCAGCACAAAUGAUGAUGUGCAGAUCAGUGACAUUUCCCUGCAGGAUUACAUUGCAGUGAAGGAGAAGUAUGCCAAGUACCUGCCUCACAGUGCAGGGCCUUAUGCUGCCACAUGCUUCUGCAAAGCUCAGUGCCCCACUGUGGAGCCCCUCACUAACUCCAUGAUGAUGCACGGCCACAACAGCAGCAAGAAGCUCAUGACUGUGCACAUCAUCAAGCAUGCCUUCAAUUUCAUCCACCUGCUCACAGGCGAGAACCCUCUGCAGGCCCUGGUGAACACUAUCAUCAAUGGUGGGCCCCAGGAGGACUCCACAUGCAUCGGGUGAGCAGGCACUGUGAGAUGACAGGCUGUGGAUAUGUCCCUACUGCACCAUGUGAAUCAGGCCACCUGGUUGCUGUGCACAGGCACUCAUGAGGCUGCCUUCCAGAAGAUCAAGACCAUUGCUGAGUGCCUGGCAAAUGAACUCAUCAAUGCCACCAAGGGCUCCUCCAACUCCUAUGCCAUCAAGAAGAAGGAUGAGCUGGAGCAUGUGGCCAAGUCCAACUGCUGAUUUUCCUGGCUGCUGCCCAAUAAACCAGUCUGUCCUUUGGGGCAGCCCUACCC